rnacentral:rRNA from 1 species
UACGAAGGGUGCAAGCGUUACUCGGAAUUACUGGGCGUAAAGCGUGCGUAGGUGGUGAGUUAAGUCUGUCGUGAAAGCCCCGGGCUCAACCCAGGAACUGCGUCCAAGACUGGGAGGCUUGAAUCCGGGAGAGGGAUGCGGAAUUCCAGGUGUAGCGGUGAAAUGCGUAGAUAUCCGGAGGAACACCGGUGGCGAAGGCGGCUUCCUGGACCGACACUGACGCUGAGGCGCGAAAGCUAGGGGAGCAAACGGG